AACGUCCCAUUCGGACUGCAGUCUGCAACUCGACUGCACGAAGCUGGAAUCGCUAGUAAUCGCGGAUCAGAAUGCCGCGGUGAAUACGUUCCCGGGUCUUGUACACACCGCCCGUCACACCAUGGGAGUCAGUAACGCCCGAAGUCAGUGACCUAACCGAAAGGGAGGAGCUGCCGAAGGCGGGACGGAUGACUGGGGUGAAGUCGUAACAAGGUACC
rnacentral:rRNA from 1 species